AAGAAACCAAAUGAAAUGUUAAAACUUUCAGCAACGGAUCUCUUGGUUCUCGCAUCGAUGAAGAACGCAGCGAAAUGCGAUAAGUAGUGUGAAUUGCAGAAUUCAGUGAAUCAUCGAAUCUUUGAACGCACAUUGCGCCUCCCGGUAUUCCGGGAGGCAUGCCUGUUCGAGAGUCAUUGACAACCACAUCGAAUCCCCCCAUUUCAGUCCUCGCAGGGGGCUUUGGGGGGAGAUCGGUCCUGGGGGAAGAGGAGUGUGUCGCCUCGCUAAGCUUGGCAAAUCCCCUCCCCUCCGAAAUUCAUAUGCGGUCUGUGCCAAACCCACAUCUUAUAUGGGCGCGUUGUAGAGGAGGCCCCUCACAAAUUUGGAGGUGCCACUUUUCGCGUGUGUAUAAUAAUGCCGGUUGGGUUUCUUCGGGACCCCAGACUAGCCAGGAAUAAAAAAUCCCCAGUGGCUUUUUGUUACUAAAUGAAUGGUUGACCUCGGAUCAGGUAGGGAUACCCGCUGAACUUAAGCAUAUCAAUAAGCGGAGGAAAAGAAACCAACCGGGAUUGCCUCAGUAACUGCGAGUGAAGUGGCAAAAGCUCAAAUUUGAAAUCCGGUACCUUUGGUGCCUGACUUGUAAUUUGGAGAGACAAAUUUGGUUGGCAGCGCUGGCCUAGGUUCCUUUGAACAGGACAACACAGAGGGUGAGAAUCCCGUGCAUGGUCGGAGUUGCUGUCACAUUGCUAGAUUGUCUUCGACGAGUCGAGUUGUUUGGGAAUGCAGCUCAAAAUGGGGUGGUAAAUGUCAUCUAAGCUAAAUAUUGCGAGAGACCGAUAGCGCACAAGUAGAGUGAUCGAAAGAUGAAAAGCACUUGGAAAAGAGAGUCAAAAAG
rnacentral:rRNA from 1 species